UUACUUACUUGACAGGGGGCAUACCUUUCUUCUUGGCCCUGAAUGACUUGGUGUCGUUAGAGGUUAAAGGUCUGUCCCUUGUACUGUAGGCAGGCUGACCCUUGCAAGAGCCUCCCAGUGUGAGGAUCUUGGCUACACAAUUUAUGAUGAUGGGAGACUGCUCUUGGCAUUUCCCUC
rnacentral:snRNA from 14 species